GCCGGAAGGGCUGAAGGUAAUGGUGGCCCUGUUAGUGUCACGCUUUAGAGAUUUAUUUCUCAGGCUCUUUAGGAUUUUUUAGUUUUCUCUUCUUCUUUUUUUUUUUUUUGAGUCUUCAGAGAGGCAAGAGUAAUUUCUCCCUUCCACUGUUGGGAAUCUGAGCUUCUGUUACUCUCAGAGAACCCCCUUUCCCGCAUCUUUUCCUUUAUACCUUUACUCUUCUGCGGGCUAGACUCUCCCUCGGUCCUCCAAGACGUCUCGCCGGUUUAUUUGAUUUUAGUUCUGUUCUUUGAGAGAAUCCCAGCCCCGGAGUUAUCUUUCCUUCCCUCUUUAGCGGACCCCCGCUCGCCUCCAUCCUCGUCUUCGGUCUGAGGCAUGGAGCCUGACGGCUCUCGGGAAUCCCCACCCCGGGAGGGCUCUUCCUUUCCUGGACAGUGGCCUUCCUCCGCCCUCGGACAGGUCUUCUCCCAGAUCUUGCACCAGUUUGCCGGUCAGGAAUCCCGACGGGGCAAGGCCAGAAAUGCAGCUCUUCGGGAACUCAGUGCUGUACUAGAUGCCAAAGAAUGUGAUCAGUUGUUUGCGGGGAGUGACACCUCGCUCCGUGGAAUGCCCGAGAUGCUGGGGCAGGUGGCAAAAGCCCUGGGGAAGUAUGCAGCUCCUCCCGAGGGGCCGGAAGGGGGAGGUGAUCGUCACUCCGAAGUGGCCGAGAAAGCGGCAGCAGUUGGGUUACUCUUCCUUAAGCUGUUGAGGAAAGUUGAGACCGCUAAGAAUUCCUUGGUUUGCCCUGCAUGGAAGGCAGGCCUCCGUCACUUGGCAGGACCCAUCUAUAUUUUUGCCAUCACACACAACUUGGAGCAACCAUGGACCAGCCCAAAAUCUCAGGGCGUCGCUGGACAGGUGCUCGCCUUGCUGCUUCAGGUUACUGAUUGUGGUUCUGUGGCUGGAUUCCUCCACGGAGAAAAUGAAGAUGAGAAAGGGAGAUUUACUGCGGUCAUGGGGCUUCUCAAACCCGAUUUGAAUAAGGACUCCUGGAAGAGUAACCCAGCCACCAAACAUGUUUUCUCAUGGACUCUGCAAAAGGUCACUCGACCCUGGCUGAGCCAACAUCUGGAAAGGGUACUUCCCCCGUCAUUGCUCAUCUCAGAUGACUAUCAAACCGAGAACAAAAUCCUGGGUGUCCACUGCCUCCAUCACAUUGUGCUAAAUGUGCCAGCUGCUGAUCUGCUGCAGUACAACAGGGCCCAAGUCCUAUACCAUGCCCUUUUCAACCACCUGUACACACGGGAGCACCACCUCAUUCAGGCUGUGCUCCUGUGUCUGCUGGAUUUAUUCCCCAUCCUGGAGAAAGCCCUGCACUGGAAGGGAGAUGCAGCCCGACCCACCACACACUGUGACGAGGUCCUGCAGCUGAUCCUGAUGCACAUGGAGCCCGAGCACCGCCUUCUCUUACGCAGGACUUACGCAAGAAACCUACCGGCUUUCGUGAAGAGGUUGGGGAUCUUAACUGUCCGGCACUUGAAGAGGCUGGAUCGAGUCAUCAUUGGUUAUCUGGAGGUUUAUGAUGGACCCGAGGAGGAGGCUAGAUUGAAGAUAUUGGAAGCCCUAAAACUUCUCAUGCAGUAUACUUGGCCCAGAGUUCCCUGUAGACUUGUGGUCUUACUGAAGGCUCUCUUGAAACUGAUAUGUGAUGUAGCAAGGGAUUCAAGCCUCACACCCGAAUCUGUUAAGAGUGCCUUGUUAGAAGAGGCCACAGACUGCCUGAUUCUCCUGGACCGCUGCUCUGAAGGACAGGUGAAGGGUCUCCUGGCUAAAAUUCCCCAAAGCUGUGAAGACAGUAAGGUGGGGAACUGUAUCCGAAGAGUGCAGCAGGUUUCUGAAGGAGCUCCCUACAAUGCAACUUAAGACUUGUAUUACUUUCCUGAAGAGGAAAAGAUUUUCUUUCUGUUCCAAUUGUUUUAAAUGGAAUCAUUUCAGGAAAAAGCAUCUGAAGAGCCACUGUCUGCCUCCUGCUGUUCCAGGGCCUUGUCGAAGGCAUGGAUGGGGAAGUUGUAGAUGUCGCCAUACUAAAGAACAUACACGUGGGUCAGCUUUAAC